UACGGGGGGUGCGAGCGUUGUCCGGAAUCACGGGGCGUAAAGGGCGCGUAGGUGGUUUGAUAAGGGUGUGGUGAAAGCCCGGGGCUCAACCCCGGGUCUGCCGUGCCGACUGUCAAACUCGAGGGCUGUAGAGGCAGACGGAAUUCCGGGUGUAGCGGUGGAAUGCGUAGAGAUCCGGAGGAAGACCGGUGGCGAAGGCGGUCUGCUGGGCAGUUUCUGACACUGAGGCGCGACAGCGUGGGGAGCAAACAGG
rnacentral:rRNA from 1 species